CGUGAAGUAUUCAGAAUCAGAGGUUAUGGUCUCAAGUAUCUUGGAGGAAAGUACAUUGUGCAAACAAAGAAGAUAGAAGCAACAAAAUCCAUGGAAUGAUAUCCUUGGAAUCUGAAACUUGGUGGCAAUUUUGUGAGUAUAAUAGAGGCACAUGUCAGAAACAAUGCAAUUAGGGCGUGGUGUUAGCUUCUCAAAUAAUUGCUGUGCUGCUUCUUCCAUCUUGUUUGCUGCAAUGAAGAAACUGAAAAAGUCCUCCAUUGAAUACAUCAUGUCUAGACUCUAGAUUCUCAACCCCAUCUUGCAAUCCUUCUUCUUUGCCAGGAAACUGGAGCUGCACUAAACGGAUACGGAGCCCUGACUCAAUGGCACGGGCAAUUGUAUUCUGGACUCUGCUUGCGUUGUGAGGUGUUGUAACUAUAGUAACAAUCACGUUACGUUGUGCUAACAGUCGGCCAAUAUCUACCAUGGGGAUCAAGUGACCUUGAGCCAUGAAAGGGAACAGCACAAAGUGAGGCUGAGGCUGGUCGAAUAAGGAACCCAUAGAAAUAAGAGUAAAUGAAACACGCAAGUUAAUUUGUAAUAGAAGGGUGCCAAUAACUGUUAUAUAUAGCGAAGUUUGAAGUUCAUUUAAGAAUGUUAUACUUGGCUGCUGAUGCAAGAGCAUACAUAAGAAUAUUGUUUUAUACGGUAAAAGGAUGAGGUUGGCCAGAAAAACUAGAAUUCUGUGGGCUGUAAUGCUUUGUUAUAAACCUUUUUUUUGUCUGUUGCAUUUCAGUACGUGUCUGACCAGUGGCCCUGAGUUCAGUCCUAGUCUUGGGACAUAAUUGUGUGAACGGCAUAUCAUAUGGCAAUGGCCGAAGGGCCGAAGGACAAACAAACAAAAAGUUUGAAACGGUAGUCAGCAAGAUAUCUUUGUUUGUGGAACUGGGUUUAGGCCUGGAAGCUUUCUAUAAACAUUAAAACAAGUCACUAUAUUUGGAAAAUUGUCUUCGAUCACCAAUAAGUUUCACCUACGUGUCUUAGGCUACAACUCAAAAUUCAUUUAGGGUUCGUACUGCUCUGUGUGCUAGUCUAUCACUGGUUUUAACUCCAAAAUAAUAAUAAUAAUAAUAAUAAUAAUAAUAAUAAUAAUAAUAAUAAUAAUAAUACCAGGCAGGUAAAAGCUAGAAGUGUAUUGAAAUAUGAAAGUUUACGAGAUACUUGGUGAGAUGUAGGUCACUCAUGUAUCUGAAUCCAUUUUAUUAGUGUUUCAUUAGGCGAAACAUUACUAUUGAAAUAUGAAACUUGAAAAUGUAAUGCAAUGAAUUUGAUAAAAUGACUUGAUAUAACAUUGAAGUAAAUUGUAUGGAAUUGAUAUAAUCUUAUAGAUUGACAUGGAAUAUGACAUUGAAAAUGGACUAUGUAAAAUUGGUAUGUUCUUAUGAAUUAAUGAUAGAAUAUAACAUUGAGAUAAGUUUUGUGAAAGUGAUAUAAAUUGGUAUGUUUUGAGUUUACUUAUAAUGUCUAAUGAACAUGGAUACUUAUGCUCAUCUUGUAGUUAUUUUAAGUGUCAUGUUCUAGCCAAAAUUAUGCCAAAACUAAGGUAGCUAACAUGCUUAUGUAUGAACAAGGUAAGCAUAAUAUUUUCUAUUUGAACUUAUUAAGCAUUUUUAUGUUUAUCCUAGUUGUUUUCCCUACUUAUAGAUCAUCAACUUGCAGAACUUACCGAGUCGGAUAAACGCGAGUCAUACACUAUCACCAAGACGGUAGAAUCAUGUCUAUUUUGUGUCUAAAUAUUGUGACAUGUAUAUAAGGGCACUUCGUUGUGCUAAUGAUCAUUUUUGAGUUGAUAGUUAUGUGUAAAUGUGGUUAUGGUUGAACUUCUAUGAUAAGUUUGACAUACAACUUAUUUGAUGCAUAGUCUUGAUCAUGUUCAAUGCUAGUAUGUGUAAUGAUGUUAAACUUGCAAGACAUUGGCAUGUUAAAGGUUGCAAAGUGAAGAAGUUGAGAAACAUAAGUUGAUGAAUGGUUUGGAAAUAGUAUGUUUGGAUAUUAGGCAUGAAAUCAUGUUAGGGUACUUUAAGUGCUUGGUUCCCAAGUUGCGUAAGUAUGAUAUGUUAAAAUGAAAUAAUUUAGUAUGGCUAGUUGAUAAAGGGUUGAAUGUGCCUAAAUGAUGAAUAUUUAUUUUGUACUAUAUUGAAUGUUUGAUUUCAAAUGUUUAUAGGUUUGAAUUGGUAUAGAUUGGUAUGAAAUGAUUGUGGAAAAAAGUAUGAAAGUACAUAGUGUAUAAUUGAAAGCAUGAAAUUGUUGGGAAAUGUACCCAUAUUGUAGUAAACAUGUAACUAUUUUCUACGUAUUUGAAUUAUGAAUGAAUAAAUAAAUGUAAUUUCACAUUUCACUAUUAUAUCUUUUGUGUUUCUAUCUGUCAUGUUUUACAUACAUAGCGAAAUUGUGACAAGCAAAUAUUAGCUCAUUGAUUCUCUAAGUUCAAGUUGAUGAUAAGUGGCACUGUAAGAACGUUUAAAUUGCUAGAAAGAUAACUUACUUCAGUAGAUAAUCUAAACAAGUUCGUAAUCCCAUAAAAAAUCAAAGUGUGCAUUUAAUUCAAAUACAUAGAAGGAUUAUUAUGUUGUCUACAAUUCCAAUUAGGGAGAUGGCUAGUCUUGGCUAUCGGAGCAGUUGACUCCACGGGUAGAUACAUAAAUGUACUAAUUGGAAGAAUGUUACAUUAGACUGGACCCAAAUUAAAUUAAUUUUGAAUCUGUUUUGUGAAUUAAUUCACUUGUGACAUUCAUUGUGUGACUUGCCUAAAUCCCGAGUUAGUCACUGACCAUACAAAUGUAACUCAUGUGGUUUGAUAUAAAUGGAGGCUUAUGCUCUAAAGAUGAUCGAGCCAAUAGUUGGUAUGUUGGGUAUAUGACUUGUGUAUAUCAUGACUUUACUAGCAACAAUGAAAUUCAUAACUCAAUUAAAGAGUUAACGAUAUCCUCUCAUUGACAUUGUAUAGAUUGAUAAAUAUUGAACAUGGUCAGGGGUUGUUUGUUCUCGAACGAGCACUUUAUCACAGUCAUUAGUUGAUAGUGAUCAUAUUAAUCAUUAAGAAGACAUUAUGGUGACAAUGAGAUAAAAUAUGAUUAUAUUAAGUGAACGGACUUAACUCAAAGGAAUCAAGAUAUCAUAUGAGGGUAACAUACACAUGACGAGAUUAUUGGACAAAACAGUUGGAUGAAUUGCUUUCGUAAAGAGUAUACAAUAAGGAGUUUUCAAUCAUGGUACUUCUUGUGGACUGACUCCAUGAUUAAAUAAAUAGUGAAUUAUCGAAAUGAUACUUCUAGAUAUAAUUACAAUUAACUCGAGCCUAAUUAUAUAUGUCCAAUUGGUUCCUUCACUAGCUCAACAAAAGCUUGAUCAAACUGCAUUUGAAUCAGAAGAAAAUUCUAUGAUUUUGAAAAUAACUUAAUUGAGUCAAUUUAUUCGAUGUGGAAUUAAAUUAGGUGGUCGUUGUUCAAUUAGAGAAUUGAUUAAAGAAAUUUUUUAAAAAAUAAUUUGGAAAAUCUUAGUGAUUUUUGGGAAAAUUAAUUUUGAUCAAGUAAAAUUUAAUUUAAUCAAUUUAAUUAAAAUAAAUAUGAUAUUUUUAGAAAUUAAUUUUCAAGUCAAACAAUUGACCCAAUGGGUAAUUGAACUUGAAAAUUGGACCCGAGAACCAAAACCCGAGAUUGAAACUCAAAAACUGGUUGAACGGGACCUAUGCAUGAAGCUAGACCGGCGAUCCAAUUAGUGGUUGGACCGGACUGCUUGGACCGUCAUUGGCCUGAACCGAACCAACAAUAGCCGAAUCGACCAAGACCAUUCGAGCAAAACAACAACGGUUCAGAGUGCCGGGGGAGUUGCACUGUUAAUGGCACCACCAAGCACAGUAGCUACGGUGGUGGUGAUCUACCGAUCGAUGGAUGGUUGGCAACAGUGGUUUGUAGGUGGUAAAGUAGUGGAAAAAUUAGACUCCUAGUGGGACUCUACCGGGUAACUUGAUUUCAAAUUAAAUUUUUCAAAGAUAAUAUUAUUUUAAUAAAUUUAAUAUUUAAUUUAAUUUAAUUUUUAUCUAGAUAGUAUUUUAUUAAUUUAAUAUUAAUAUGAAAUAUUAAAUUUAAUUUAAUAUUUAUCUAGAUAAUAUUUUAUUAAUUUAAUAUUUAUGUGAUUAAUAUUUAACUAGAUAAUAUUUUAUUAAUUUAAUUUAAUAUUUAUCUAUAAUUUUACACUUUGACUACAAGAGAAUAAUUGUAUACAUUGUAUUAUGCAUAUUGAAAGAACUUAUAUUAUCACUCGUGGUCAUGUGAGACAGAAGUAAAAUCCAAACACAUUUUUGAAAAUUGUUGGAUGAUAUCUUGGACUAACAAAGUUAUAUUAAUGUAAGAAGAGCCCCCACUUCAACAGUUUUUACAGAGUUCUGGGCACUUUACAGUGCCGAUGCUCCCAAGGCAAGCAUAGAUUACAGAGUUGGGUUGUUGAGAAUCAAGGCACUUCAAACAUUGCUGCUCACUGAUUGAAGCCUUGUUGCCUCUUUCAGCCUUGUCUAACUCAUCUUUGUGGCUAAGAGAAACUGGACCAAUGCACCAGGCUUUCUUUAUCUUCCUAUACUCUGACAUAAGUUGACUCCAGCUCCUCGGAAGUAUUUAUGACGACCCCGUAUGAUGCUCGGUCAGCUUCGAUCAUUGGUCCAACAAUGUCCUUCCUGGGUUCAUCAUGGAUAACCGGUAACUGGGCUUUAGUAAAUUCGAUCUUUUCAGACAAGCCAGGUACCGUGAAGUAUUCAGAAUCAGAGGUUAUGGUCUCAAGUAUCUUGGAGGAACGUACAUUAUGCAAACAAAGAAGACAAAAGCAACAAAAUCCAUGGAAUGAUAUCCUUGGAACCUGAAACUUGGUGGCAAUUUUGUGAGUAUAAUAGAGACACAUGUCAGAAAUAAUGCAAUUAGGGCGUGGUGUUAGCUUCUCAAAUAAUUGCUGCACUGCUUCUUCCAUCUUGUUUGCUGCAAUGAAGAAAUUGAAAAAGUCCUCCGUUGAAUACAGCAUGUCUAGACUCUAGAUUCUCAACCCCAUCUUGCAAUCCUUCUUCUUUGCCAGGAAACUGGAGCUGCACUAAACGGAUAGGGAGCCCUGACUCAAUGGCACGGGCAAUCGUAUUCUGGACUCUGCCUGCGUUGUGAGGUGUUGUAACUAUAGUAAUAAUCACGUUGUGCUAACAGUCGGCCAAUAUCUACCAUGGGGAUCAAGUGACCUUGAGCCAUGAAAGGGAAAAACACAAAGUGAGGCUGAGGCUGAUCGGAUAAGGAACCCAUAGAAAUACGAGUAAAUGAAACACGCAAGUUAAUUAUAGAAGGGUGCCGAUAACUGUUAUAUAUAGCGAAGUUUGAAGUUCAUUUAAGAAUGUUUUACUUGGCUGCUGAUGCAAGAGCAUACAUAAGAGUAUUGUUUUAUUCGGUAAAAGGAUGAGGUUGGCCAGAAAAACUAGAAUUCUGUGAACUGUAGUGCUUCGUUAUAAACCCUUUUUUUUGUCUCUUCUAUCUCAGUACGUGUCUGACCAGUGGCCCUGAGUUUAGUCCUAGUCUUGGGACAUAAUUAUGUGAACGACCGAAGAACAAACAAACAAAAAGUUUGAAACGAUGGUCAGCAAGAUAUCUUUGCUUGUGGAACUGGGUUCAGGCCUGGAAGCUUUCUAUCAACAUUAAAACAAGUCACUAUAUUUGGAAAAUUGUCUUCCAUCACCAAUAAGUUUCACCUAUGUUUAUUAGGAUAUAACUCAAUCAAUACAAUACACAAUAGAUUUAAAAUUAGACAAAACCCAUAUAAAGUAUAUACAUAUGAAAAAAAAGAGACCUGCAUCAUAAAUACAAAUGACGAGACUUAAACUCAAACUUCAAAAUAGUGUGAA
rnacentral:lncRNA from 1 species